rnacentral:lncRNA from 1 species
UCUCCUCUCUUCUCUCUUCUCUCUUCGGCCGCAGGUCUCCGAUGGCGCCGUUGACUCAGUCUGUCCUCAGCCUCCUCUCCGCCGCUUUCCUCCUUGGCUUCCUCUCUGAUCCGGCCGCUGCUCGUCCCUGCAAAACCCUUUUCAUCUCCUCCUACUCCGUAUCCUUCCACCCCAAUUUCCCCGAUCAAAAUAACCCUAACUCCGCAGGCACCGCCGGAAUUCUCACGAUUUUCACUGAGAUCCGGCAAUUUAACCCCCGUCCGCCGCUCACCUUCGUCGACGCCGUCGAGGAUCAGCACCCGAUCGAGCGUCCGCCGCGAUUUGGCCUCGGUCUAGGGUUCGACUCCGACUCCCUCCGCGACCGCACCAAGGACGUGCUCAGCGUUGUUGUGGCGCUGCUCUUCGGCGUCGGCUGUGGCGCUCUCACCGCCGCAACCAUGUACUUGGGUUGGUCGCUCUUCUCCAACCGCCACCGCUACUCCGACUUCGAUUACGAUGACUUUGAGGAUGAUGACGUUGACAUGAGCCCUAAGAAGGUGGGCUAUGUGAGGAUCCCUCCUCCUGCUGAUGCCUCUACUCCCGUGGCAAAAGAGGCGGUAUGAGGCACAGAAAAAUUAGGGUUUUAAUGCUUAAUGCCUAGUGUUUUGCGUUUCUGAACCAGGUGCUAUUUGCUAUGUUAUUAUGAAUUAUAUUGCUAAAAAUGUGGGUACUUAUAUGGUUUUGUGUUU